UACGUAGGGUGCAAGCGUUAAUCGGAAUUACUGGGCGUAAAGCGUGCGCAGGCGGUUGUGCAAGACAGAGGUGAAAUCCCCGGGCUCAACCUGGGAACUGCAUUUGUGACUGCAUCGCUGGAGUACGGCAGAGGGGGAUGGAAUUCCGCGUGUAGCAGUGAAAUGCGUAGAUAUGCGGAGGAACACCGAUGGCGAAGGCAAUCCCCUGGGCCUGUACUGACGCUCAUGCACGAAAGCGUGGGGAGCAAACAGG
rnacentral:rRNA from 1 species